CUGCCGGCUGCCCGCAUGGUGCCAGCGGACAGGGGAGGGAGAUCUCUGAUCUCCCCUCUGGUUCAUGAAGGCACAUUGCAGGGCCGGCGUUUGGACAGUAAUUAAUAUUUUUUUUUGUUCUUUAAUAUUUAUUAAUUUAAUAAACCCCCUAUACAAACACUCCACCCUUAUACACACAUUAUACAGGAAUGAGCAGGUGUGGCCAGGAAGGGGCGCUGUGAAC
rnacentral:lncRNA from 1 species